rnacentral:lncRNA from 1 species
CAAGCUACCCUAACUUUAUUCCAAGUUAUGCAUGACCCUGCCCUUUCACCUCUCCUAGGCUUUUCUAUAUAAAUUCUUUGGAUUUACCUUGCAGACCUCAAGGAAUGUGAAACUGGUGAAGAUGUUGCUCUCCUCCAUCCUACAAGCUAUCCACGAAGACCUGCAGGAGAGGGAGGAUAAGAACCUGAAGCUGGAGUACCUGGACACCCUGACCAAGCUAACAAACAUCCUGAGCAGCCACCCCAUGGCCUUUCAACUCAAGUUCCCUCAGAAACUAGAAAUUGUAACCUUCCUGGUGGUGAGCACAAGCAAAAUACAGCUGGUGGGGGACUUACUGUCCCAGAGCUUUGGCUUCCUGAAGAGCCCUCAGUCCUUCCUACGGGCAGCUGCCAUCGACUUCACAGAAUUAACAGCUAAGAAGCUAAACAGGAGUCAAAUACAUGAGGAUGAUGUGGAGCUGUUACAGAAUGGAUAAGCCACCUGAGCAAUAACAUCUUCAAAGUCACUGGCAUGAAAACCCCAAAAAGAAAGAAGUGACUGUUUAAGAGUGUCAAAGGGGAAAGAGAUGAUAAUGACGACAGUCAGAAAGAGAAAAUCUGGAUGUGGCUUCAAAGCCCUCUAAAUUCAUUGUGCAACCGGUACGAUAGGAGGGUGAAAAAUACUCCACUGAUAAUAGGCAAUUCAGAGAAACAGUCAAUACGGUCACAGGUCCCGACAUCUGAAAGUCCACCUGUAGAAGCUGGGCCUGCUGCCAAAUAAGUUGCUCCUAAUUGCUCUGGGACUAAAGCCUUUUCCAUUUGUUUGUCCAGAUGUCAGUACUUUGCUUCCCAGUAGCUCACCUACCAUAGUCCAACUGGAUGGGCUACUUUGGAUUACACCCAAGGAGGCAUUUUUGAUCUUAGAGGACACAGUAUGUUUCUGGUCCUUUCUCUCCCUAGGGGAUUGUUGGCUAUCAGCAUAUGCAUUUGUCAAUAAAACUUACUUUCUCACCCUAAGACAAGAUGACUUUCAUCUUAGUUUUGGGGGAUUGGGGAGAAACCUGAGUGACAGGGACAGCUCUGGAAGUAUCUCCUUCAAUCUUCAGGUAAAGUUUCAAAUGAUAAGAGGGAGGAAGAGUAGGGUGGCAGAACAGCGUGGCACCUAGUGUCCAAUCAAUUGUUUUCACCUCCACACACAUUGGAUGAAAUUCCUACGCCUGACACACUGCAAGGCACAUUCAGAUUUCAGGUUGGAGAAGAAAGAGGCGGGCUGUGGGUGUAAACGUUGGGGUGGCAAUAACUCCAGCCCAAUCUCUCUCACUUAAGAAAGAGCAUUUGGUGGGAUGCCUGGGUGGCUCAGUUGGUUAAGCGACUGCCUUCGGCUCAGGUCAUGAUCCUGGAGUCCCGGGAUCGAGUCCCACAUCGGGCUCCCUGCUCAGCAGGGAGUCUGCUUCUCCCUCUGACCCUCUUCCCUCUCAUGCUCUCUAUCUCUCAUUCUCUCUCUCUCAAAUAAAUAAAUAAAAUCUUUAAAAAAAAAAAGAAAGAAAGAAAGAGCAUUUGGAUUGUGAUGGAGUGACAUUCUUGUUGGGAUAACUUGGAGUCCAUUCUAAUUUAAAAAAAUUUUUUUAAAGAUUUAUUUAUUUAUUUAAGAGGGAGGGGGAGAGCAGGGGGAGGGGCCAAAAGAGAGGGAGAGAGAAUCCUGAAGCAGACCCCCUGCUGAGCACGGAGCCUGACGCAGGGCUCCAUCCCAUGACCCCAAGAUCAUGACCCGAGCUGAAAUCAAGAGCCAGAUGCUCAACUGACUGAGCCACCCAGGCGCCCUGAGGGCAAUAAUUUUUUUUUUCAAAGGCCCUGACAUUUAGGCUAUUGGAACUCAGUUCUGAGAAGUUUGAAAGAUGCAGAAAGAGGGGCAUCUGGGCAGCUCAGUUGGUUAAACCUCUGACUCUUGAUCUCAGCCCAGGUCUUGAUCUCAGGGUCAUGAGUUCAGGCCCCACGUUGGGUUCCAUGCUGGGCAUGGAGCCUACUUAUAAACAAAAAACAAUAGGUUGGGGAAAAAAAUAAAGAUGUGGAAAGACCAAAGAACUAGUUCCCACUUUGGUCAAAUUGAUUAAUUUGACUUCUUUGAAGUUAACCAUGAUCAGAAUGGUUUUGAUUGCUUCUAAACUUUAUGAGCUACUUUUUAAUUUUAUGAACUUUUAUAUAAAAUCCUUCUAAAACUGUUUUCUUCAUAUUUAAAAAUGAGAAUUUUUAAACUUACUUUAUAGGCUUUAUGGAAUGAAAUGAGAUAGCCAUGUACUUGGUAUAGAAAUAAGUGCUUAGGGGCGCCUGGGUGGCUCAGUUGGUUAAGCGACUGCCUUUGGCUCAGGUCAUGAUCCUGGAGUCCCGGGAUCGAGUCCCACGUCGGGCUCCCCCCUCAGCAGGGGGUCUGCUUCUCCCUCUGACCCUCUUCCCUCUCAUGCUCUCUGUCUCUCAUUCUCUCUCUCUCUCAAAUAAAUAAAUAAAAUCUUAAAAAAAAAGAAAUAAGUGCUUAAUCAAUGGCUGUCAUUAUUACCUGGGUAUGAUGGUUAAUUUUGUGUGUCAGUGGGGUUGGGCCAUAGUGCCCACAUAUUUGGUUAAACUUUAUUCUGGAUGUUUCUAUGAGGUUGCCUUUGGAUGAGAUUAACAUUGCAAUUGUAAAUAAGUAAAUCAGAUUGCCCUCUAUAAUGUGGGUGGGCCUCAUCCAAUCAGUUGAAGACCUGAAUAGAAUAAAAAACUGACCUCCUGAGAGCAAGAGGGAAUUCUGCCAGCAGAUGACCUUUGGACUUGAACUGCAACAUGAGCUCUUCCCCGUGCCUCCAGCCUGAUGGUCUACUCUGCAGAUUUUGGACUUGCUGGCCUCCAUCAUAAUUGGCAAUUCCUUAAAUCUAUCUCUUUCUUCCUUGCUCUUUCUUCACACACACACACACACACACACACACACACACACACACACACGUCCUAUUGGUUCUGUUUCUCUGGAGAAUCCUGACUAAUACACCAGGUAUAAGGCAGCAUCCUCUGAGUCAAUAGAAAAGUGUCAAUACUUGGGGAUGACAAAGGUGGAGUUGGUGGGAGUUGGUGGGAAAGCUAAACUUUAAAGACUUAGCUUCUGAACCAAAGCACUGAGACUUCCAGUGCUUUGUAUAUUGGCAUGUGCCCCAUUGGCCUUCAGCCUAGCUUUAUGCUCUUUGACUUUCUGACUUUUAUUUCAAUUUCCUUCGAACUGGGACUUCUCAGGAUACCCCCAACCCUGUCAUGAUCUCUAAUUCUUGCCACCACUCCCUGGCUGCACAUUCUCUAUGAAGACAGCUGCCCCAUCUGUAUCCAGGUGUUCGUAGAGCCCCUAGUCUUGUAUUUGGGGGGACCUUGACCAAAUCAGGCUACCCGGCAGAGGAAGCUGGUCAAUGGCAGAGGGAGAGGUUGCACUCUCACUUGGUCCUAGGGUUAGCAUCCUGUCUUCCUUUGCACAGUCCCCCUGCCCCUGCCUUCCAGCACGCAUCCCUCCCGUGUUCCUCUCCUCCCCACCAGACUCCUUGAAUAGGUGCAGUACUUCUGCUCCUCCAACCUUCUCAUCAUUUAGGCUUUUCUUAACACUUGCAAAGUAAUUUUGUUCCAACUACUGUACUGACUCUCCCUCCUUAAGUUGCCAGGGGAUUUUUUUCUAGUUAUUGUUCUCCUUGACCUUGCUGUAUCCAAUAUUUUUGAUCGUUUUCUCUUUUGCCUUCGUGAUGACCCUAAUUUGCCCUCUACUGCUCUAAUCAAUCAAUUUCUCACUUCCCUCCCCCCAGAGGGGGCCAUUUCUUGAGGUCAUUCUCUGAUUUUAUCCUCUUUUUAAAAAAAUUGUGUUCGGGCACCUGGGUGGCUCAGUCGUUAAGCGUCUGCCUUCAGCUCAGGUCAUGGUCCCAGGGUCCUGGGAUCGAACCCCACAUCCGGCUCCCUGCUCUGCGGGAAGCCUGCUUCUCCCUCUCCCACUCCCCCUGCUUGUGUUCCCUCUCUUGCUGUGUCUCUCUCUGUCAAAUAAAUAAAUAAAAUCUUCAAAAAAAUUGUGUUAAAAUACAUAUAACAUAUAAGAUUAACUAUAUUAACUCUUUUUAAGUGUACAUUUUAGUGGUAAGUGCAUUUACUUUGUUGUGCAACCGAUGUCCAGAACUCCCUUCUUCUCACAACACUGAAACUCUCUACCCAUUAAACAACUAUUCCCAAUCUCCCAUUCAACUCAGCCCCUAAUAACUUCCAUUCUACUUUCUGUCUCUAUGAAUUUGACUACUCUGGGUACCUCAUGUAAGUGGAAUCAUACAGUAUUUGUCUUUUUGUGACUGGCUUAUUUCACUUAUCACAAUGUGAUAGUUUUUUGCAUCAAUUUGAAGUGGACCAUGGUGUCCAAAUAUUUGGUCAAACAUUAUUCUGGAUGUUUCUGUGAAGAUGGU